CUUAGUGGCGGACGGGUGAGUAACGCGUGGGGAACCUGCCCUGUACAGGGGGAUAACACUUAGAAAUAGGUGCUAAUACCGCAUAAGCGCACAGUAUCGCAUGAUACAGUGUGAAAAACUCCGGUGGUACAGGAUGGACCCGCGUCUGAUUAGCUGGUUGGCGGGGUAACGGCCCACCAAGGCGACGAUCAGUAGCCGGCCUGAGAGGGUGGACGGCCACAUUGGGACUGAGACACGGCCCAAACUCCUACGGAAGGCAGCAG
rnacentral:rRNA from 1 species